rnacentral:rRNA from 1 species
UACGUAGGGGGCAAGCGUUGUCCGGAUUUAUUGGGCGUAAAGAGCGUGUAGGCGGCCGUACAGGUCAGCUGUGAAAACUCGAGGCUCAACCUCGAGACGUCGGUUGAAACCGUACGGCUAGAGUCCGGAAGAGGAGAGUGGAAUUCCCGGUGUAGCGGUGAAAUGCGCAGAGAUCGGGAGGAACACCAGAGGCGAAGGCGGCGACCUGGACAGGUACUGACACUCAACUACGAAAGCGUGGGGAGCAAACAGG